AGGCAUAUCAUUUGGGAUCUUGUUAAAAUGCACAUUCUCGUUCAUUAGUUCCAAGGCGGGGCUUCAGAUUCUGUACUUCUAACAAGUUCCCAGGUGAUACUGAU
rnacentral:pre_miRNA from 1 species